CCUACGGGGCGCAGCAGUGGGGAAUAUUGCACAAUGGGGGAAACCCUGAUGCAGCGACGCCGCGUGAGCGAGGAAGUAUUUCGGUAUGUAAAGCUCUGUCAGCAGGGAAGAAGAAUGACGGUACCUGAAGAAGAAGCACCGGCUAACUACGUGCCAGCAGCCGCGGUAAUACGUAGGGGGCAAGCGUUAUCCGGAUUUACUGGGUGUAAAGGGAGCGUAGACGGUUACGCAAGUCUGGAGUGAAAGGCGGGGGCCCAACCCCCGGACUGCUUUGGAAACUGUAUAACUGGAGUGCAGGAGAGGGA
rnacentral:rRNA from 1 species